GCUAAUUUCUUUCCAUGCUGUCUAUAGGAAGCCAGGUGGGCCUUUGUGUUUUCUGGAUUAGGAGCAACUGACACGCUCUUGGUUUCAUAGCUGUGAGCAGUGCUUCAAAGGUAUAAUUCUGCAGAAGGGGGCUCCUAGGAUGUGCAAGCAAAAAAACAGAGGGCCAGGAAGCUGUACGAAGGCCCUGGAGGUGCACCAAGUAGCUCUACAUGAGUUUCUCCAGCUUUGAAUGAUGUGAAGAUUUUAAGGGCAGCUCUGAGAUUGCUUGUGUGACAACUGAAAAUUCACAGAUGAAAGAAAUGAAGGACAAAAGUAAAGACAACUGUCACUUUGCUGAGGUUUCCAGUUUACAAGCAGUCAAGGAAAUCCUAAUUCGGAAGCAUUUCAGACCUACAAACCUACAAGGCUACUCUGGGCUACCCUGCUGUCAUAGACAGUGAAUGUAUCCAGAAUCAUUGGGUGACCUCCCCAAAAUGUGCCAUGAAGGAAAGCACUGAAUUUUAAGGGGAAGAUCUGCCUUCUGCUUGUAGGAUGAACCUCACUAAAUGAAGAGCCACCAAAGGAGAAAAGGAGUUCAGAAGGGAUGAUUGCUGACGGUAUGGGCUACUGGAUAACAGCAAUAAUUAUACCAUUUCUUCCUGGAUGGAGAUAACACUAUACAAGGACCUUGAUGGCUGAGGAGGGCAGAAGGCAGGCUCUGACACCCCAUCAGUCUCCACCUGAGAGGACAAUAUUAUAUUCCUCCCUAUGAAAACGUUGGAAGUAGUGCUAAAGCUCUGUAGCAACAUGGAUGGAGAUGUUUACGAGUCAGUCUUCAGUUCUAAACUGUGCUUCCCAACAAUGAUUCAAAUCAAAUAAUGAUUAAAAGCAGUUUAAUCAUCCAGCCUGUACUUUGCCACCAUUACAAAAAAAAAACAACAAAAAAAAAACAAUAAAACAAUGACAAAAAAAAAAAACCCUCUUCUCACAUAACCUGGGGCUCUAUAUUAGUACUUGGAAAAACCUCUUGUGACUCAGCAACAGAACAUUGUACCUUUGAAAGGAUUUAUGCACACAUUUGAAAAUGCUCUGUAUUAUUGAUGGUUGUGGUAUUAUUGAUACCACAAAAUUUGAGCUACAUGCAAGUUCAUAAAACUCAUCAAUGUGUGUUGACAGUUUAUAUUAUAAUUUGACAAGUAAAGAACACUUCUUCAUUUGAUGAUUUUCAUCUGUAACUGAUGACACAUGCAUUUUAUGCUAAUGACGGCCUGAAUUUGACCUAUUUAACCUGUUAUUUUGGUUCUAAAGUACAAAGAUUAUAAUGGAUUUUUUUUUAUUUUUUUAUUUUUUGGAUUUAUUUUUUGAAACCUUGCUUCUUUAAAAUAUCUAGAACAACAACAAAAAAGUUUUAAUUUUAUUAAAAUAGCAGCUGCACGGUGCUUUAAGUUUCUAACUUUGGUCUUUUGUACGCUAUAAAAUCCAUUCUUAACUUACCAGCAUAACUCUCAUUAAUUAAUUAAGCUUUCCAUUUGAUUUCCAGACAUGUGUAUUAUAUAGGAUCUAGUCCUUGUUGGAAAGAUUUGCUCCAGAAUUUAGCUUUUUAAGGAGGAAAAGUUCUCCAUGAAAAAUCGCUUUUACAUUUCUCAUGAAAUAAAAAGAAUUUUGCAAAUUAGAAUAGUAGAAAAGCUAUCUGUCUUGCUGACCUUGCAUUCCCAAAUCUACAGAGUUCAAAAUGUAGUAUUUAAAGGUGUCUGAUGUUCUCUUCAGGUCUUUAGCUUUGUAACCUAAGGUUAUAGGGUAAAUGUCAGUUAUCUUAGUUAUUACUUCCAGUUUCAUGAUUACCCCAAGAUCAAUGCUUUUUAUGUAGUAUCUCCAAUUACUAGUUUAAAAAUCUUUUAACUGUUCAAUCUGGGGAAUUUAUAUAAAAAUGAACAAUGUAGAAGAUUCAGUACUGGUUUUUCUGCUCAGCAUUCUGCAUUCUUCAACUCCUCAAAUUCACAAUCAUGUCUUAAGAACAGAAUUUUUGCUUGCCCAAGUAACUACAGCUGUGAUGCCAGCAUAUCAGAACAAUUCAGUGUCACGUUAUCACAGCAACAGUAAGGCCACUGUAUUUUAACAAAAGCAGAACAGACAAUGAAGACAUAAUCAUAUGAUAUGAAUUUUUUCUUGAGACACACAAGACAAAGCCCCACCUAAUGAAACAGUAGUCCUGUUUUCUUUCAGUUAGACAUCUGAGUUUUGGAAUGGCUUAGUCCAUACGGAGCAAUCUUUGUUUCACUUUCCAGGCCAGAACAAAUUUAUGCCCAGCUUACUUGGUACACACAUAAAGAAACUCAGAUCUGUCUGCAGCCAUGUGUAUAUGCUUGCCAUAUCUUGAACUCUUUUCUUCUGUGCAGAGCUGUAUAGGUAGGAAGCAGGAUCAGAAUCAUAGCAACUAUUCUCCUUUCUCAUGCUAAAAUAUUCUGAUGGAUCACCAUCAGCUGCCAAGCCUUCUGCUGCAAUUUUGCCCUGGGAAAUGUGGCAUAAGGUGAAGAUUUUCUGUGAGAGUUCACAAAAUAUAUGCUUUCACCAUAUCAGGAGGUACUUCUGCAUCCUGUGAAGAGGUGGUGGCUGAGUCAGCAUGGUCCACUCCUCCUUCAAGUGAGGUAGGACUAUAUUCAUCUUUCUGGGGAUAAAUAUCAUAUUUUUGACUUAAUUUGCAGAUGCUAUUUUUGCAUCUCAUCUAUGAAAAUCUGGUAGCAAAAAUUCCUAAUUUGAUUUGCACAUUGAAAACAACAUUAACCAUCACAACUAUCUUCCAACAUCUCUUUUUAUCUGGAUUUUUUAUAAGAACAUAUCUUUUAGCAUAAUAAGUGUUAUUCCUGAGAACAUCUUGUGUAUUUGCUUGUUUUGUUUAGAACCUGGUUUUCAUUUUCUCAUCUGUAUUUCUCAUAGCAUGAAUAGAUACUCAAGGGGUACCUCUGCUUACUAGAUACAGAUUGAACUAUAAGAUGAGCUGUUGAGUGGUGAGUGAUGUGGGCUCAGGAACAAUGGAACUCUAGCUGGUGAGACACCCAUAUAAUGGGAUUUAUUUCUUUUCUAUCAUAUUCUCCUUUCCACAUCUUUUCUUUGUCUUACUGAAGGUGGUAUAAUCCUUUUGGGAUCUAUCAGAGAACUUCAGCCUUUUAAUGGCUGAUUUCCUAACAAGGACUGACUUCACUCACCAGUCAGUCAUUCUUAAAAUAAAAACCAAUAAAACUUUUCCCUUGGUGUAGCAAAAGGAACUCUUGAAAUACCAGUGGAGGAUUUUCUUUAUCUGCUUGGAUGCUAAAGGAAACAGAAUCUUCCUAAUGUACCAAGCAGAAAGAUGAGCUCAAUGAGCUGAUAAUUCUGUAAGCAUUUUUACCACCGCAUCAUGAAAUGGUUGCUAUGGAGAGAAGUUGCUAUGGCUGCUAAAGUGACUGUAAAGCAAUGUUUCUUCCUUUGUUUUCAUGAAAGACCUUAUGAUUUGCACUUGAAAUUAAAUCUGCUUUUCUUAAGGAACACAAAAUAUCCCAACACCAUGCAUUUUACUUGAAUCAAGAGGAUAAAAAAAAAAAACAAAAACAAACAAACAAAAAAAAACACAACACAAUGCCUGCCUUACUGGAAACCUGCUCAAUAACUAAACAUUCGUUGUAAUUUCAACUAAAACUAUGGGAUACAUAUAUGUUGUUCCUCACUGUCUCCUAUUUCCUCUGCACUUUCUGCUGCCCAUUUGAGAUGUUAAUUGCCUGAAGAUAAAAUUGUUCUCCCUUUCAUCUGUUGAUCUAGUCGAACUGUUUCUCAGUAUUCUAAACUCAAUUAGUUAUCCAGCUCCUAUUGACUUCUGUCAAGAAAUGUAGCAGUAUGAGCUAAUGUGUUCUGAGUGUAUUGCCUGAAAUAUGAUGACCAUGGUACUGCUAUGGGCAGUUUUCUAUUACAUGUAAUUAAGGUAACCUCAGUAUUAUUAUUUUUUUUCUGUGAUAUGUAGACCUUUGCAAUCAAAUAUGUUGUGGAUAUGGAAAAAAAAAAAAUAAAUAUAUUAUUGCCUGGAA